CUGCAAUGUCUGUGCGAGUGGUACAGUGUGCAUGAGGGCUGCAAUGUCUGUGCGAGCGGUACAGUGUGCAUGAGGGCUGCAAUGUCUGUGCGAGAGGUACAGUGUCUGUGUGUGGGGUGCAGUGUGCAUGAGGGCUGCAAUGUCUGUGCGAGAGGUACAGUGUCUGUGUGUGGGAGGCAGUGUGCAUGAGGGCUGCAAUGUCUGUGCGAGUGGUACAGUGUCUGUGUGUGGGGUGCAGUGUGCAUGAGGG
rnacentral:lncRNA from 1 species